rnacentral:rRNA from 1 species
UAGAGUUUGAUCCUGGCUCAGAUCAACGCUGGCGGCGUGCCUAACACAUGCAAGUCGAGCGAGAAAGGGGGGGCAACUCCCUGAGUAAAGCGGCGCACGGGUGAGUAACACGUGGGUAAUCUGCCCUGGAGUGGGGAACAACACCGGGAAACCGGUGCUAAUACCGCAUACGAUCACGAGGUCUGCGGAUCUUGGGAUGAAAGGAGCAAUUCGCUCUAGGAGGAGCCCGCGGCUGAUUAGCUAGUUGGUGAGGUAAUGGCUCACCAAGGCUACGAUCAGUAUCCGGUCUGAAAGGACCGCCCGAAACACUGGAGGUGGAGACCGAUCCAAACUCCUACGGGAGGCAACAGUGGGGAAUGUUAGCCAGUCGUGGCAACAACACACCAAAACAUAUGGCUAACUAAUACGAAACAUACACAUGCUACUUCUCAUAAAGAAGCGAAUGCUUUUCCGUCCUCAUUGCACAUACGUAACCGAUUAACCACACCAGACUACCUCCCCCGAGAAUAGAGAGCCUACUAACUACGACGCUUUGCUUCUACUAUAUACUAGAUCUUUUAUGAUCCAGUUCCAUCAUAUAAUAGACAAUACUGGAAAACGGUAAACCAUACGUCGUUCUCAAAUGACGUACGCUGUCUCAGUACCCUCUUCACGGACGCCAUAAAUACAAUUCCUAUUUCACCUCACUUCCCCACACACGAAGGGAAUUGAUUUACUUCUUUAUCAUCGAUAGAUUUUAUGUAUAACUGAUUCGAGAGAAGAACCUUCACACCGACGGCGGCUCUCAUUACACAUGGACACUAAUACUAAAUCGACUCCUGAUCAUACUGACACUCUCAACACUCCUGCCGAUCAGAGCUA